rfam:Roseivivax atlanticus strain 22II-s10s contig10, whole genome shotgun sequence.
GGGGACCUUCGGGGCCCUACAUCCGACGACCGGGUUCGCCCGGUCCGAACAUAGGCGGGGCGCCCAUCCGGGGCAGCUUCGCCGUCUGCAAACGGAAGACAGAAA